rnacentral:rRNA from 1 species
UACGGAGGGUGCAAGCGUUGCUCGGAAUUAUUGGGCGUAAAGGGUAGGUAGGUGGUCUCAUUUGUCUGGGGUGAAAUCCUUGAGCUUAACUCAAGAAGUGCCUCAGAAACGGUGAGACUAGAGUUCUGGAGAGGGUCGUGGAAUUCCCGGUGUAGCGGUGAAAUGCGUAGAGAUCGGGAGGAACACCAGAGGCGAAGGCGGCGACCUGGACAGAUACUGACGCUGAGGCGCGAAAGCGUGGGGAGCAAACAGG